rnacentral:miRNA from 1 species
GUGAGCAGACAGGGAGCGGUGGGGGAAGUCUAUCUCCUGGGCUCCCUGAGACCAUACAUGUCCCUCACCCUGAUGCUGCCCUGCAG